UACGGAGGGGGCUAGCGUUAUUCGGACUCACUGGGCGUAAAGAGCGCGUAGGCGGUCUCUUAAGUCAGAUGUGAAAGCCCGGGGCUUAACCCCGGAAGUGCAUUUGAAACUAAGGGACUUGAGUAUGGGAGAGGGAAGUGGAAUUCCUGGUGUAGCGGUGAAAUGCGUAGAUAUCAGGAGGAACACCGGUGGCGAUGGCGACUUCCUGGACCAAUACUGACGCUGAGGCGCGAAGGCGUGGGGAGCAAACAGG
rnacentral:rRNA from 1 species